rnacentral:rRNA from 1 species
GAGUUUGAUCGUGGCUCAGAUUGAACGCUGGCGGCAUGCUUUACACAUGCAAGUCGAACGGCAGCGCGGGGCAACCUGGCGGCGAGUGGCGAACGGGUGAGUAAUAUAUCGGAACGUACCCAAGAGUGGGGGAUAACGUAGCGAAAGUUACGCUAAUACCGCAUACGAUCUAAGGAUGAAAGUGGGGGAUCGCAAGACCUCAUGCUCCUGGAGCGGCCGAUAUCUGAUUAGCUAGUUGGUGAGGUAAAGGCUCACCAAGGCGACGAUCAGUAGCUGGUCUGAGAGGACGACCAGCCACACUGGAACUGAGACACGGUCCAGACUCCUACGGGAGGCAGCAGUGGGGAAUUUUGGACAAUGGGCGCAAGCCUGAUCCAGCAAUGCCGCGUGAGUGAAGAAGGCCU